AGCUGGAGGAGGAGGCAGCGGAGGAAGAAGUGCCAGAGGAGGCUGUUGAGGAAGUGGAGGGCUCAGUUAAUUAAGAAGCACCG